CUCUGUGACUCCUACGGGAGGCAGCAGUGGGAAUAUUGCACAAUGGGCGCAAGCCUGAUGCAGCCAUGCCGCGUGUGUGAAGAAGGCCUUCGGGUUGUAAAGCACUUUCAGUUGUGAGGAAGGUGGUGUCGUUAAUAGCGGCAUCAUUUGACGUUAGCAACAGAAGAAGCACCGGCUAACUCCGUGCCAGCAGCCGCGGUAAUACGGAGGGUGCGAGCGUUAAUCGGAAUUACUGGGCGUAAAGCGCAUGCAGGUGGUUUGUUAAGUCAGAUGUGAAAGCCCCGGGGCUCAACCUCGGAACUGCAUUUGAAACUGGCAGACUAGAGUACUGUAGAGGGGGUAGAAUUUCAGGUGUAGCGGUGAAAUGCGUAGAGAUCUGAAGGAAUACCGGUGGCGAAGGCGGCCCCCUGGACAGAUACUGACACUCAGAUGCGAAAGCGUGGGGAGCAAACAGGAUUAGAUACCCUGGUAG
rnacentral:rRNA from 1 species